GAUCCGCAGCCGGACGGAUCACAUGACACAGGCAGUCGGUGACAUUUUGUCCCCCAACUGCAGCCGAGUUCAGCGGCCGUGUCAGCAGUUGUGCAUUGGCACAGAGGUCUUUACCUCCGUACUGCGUUCGUACUGACC
rnacentral:ncRNA from 1 species